GAUGAACGCUGGCGGCGUGCCUAAUACAUGCAAGUCGAGCGAACAGACGAGGAGCUUUCUCCUUUGACGUUAGCGGCGGACGGGUGCUUAACACGUAGUUAACCUACCUCUAAGACUGGGGUAACUUCGGGAAACCGGAGCUAAUACCGGAUAAUAUUUCGAACUGCAUUGUUCGAUAGUUAAAUAUGCCUUUGCUAUCACUUAUAGAUGGACCUGCGCCGUAUUAGCUAGUUGGGAAGGUAACGGCUUAGCAAGGCAACGAUACGUAGCCGACCUGAGAGGGUGAUCGGCCACACUGGAACUGAGACACGGUCCAGACUCCUACGGGAGGCAGCAGUAGGGAAUCUUCCGCAAUGGGCGAAAGCCUGACGGAGCAACGCCGCGUGAGUGAUGAAGGUCUUCGGAUCGUAAAACUCUGUUAUUAGGGAAGAACAAACGUGUAAGUAACUGUGCACGUCUUGACGGUACCUAAUCAGAAAGCCACGGCUAACUACGUG
rnacentral:rRNA from 1 species